rnacentral:rRNA from 1 species
UUAAGCUACAAAGGGCAUACGGUGGAUGCCUAGGCAUUGAGAGUCGAUGAAGGACGCGGUAAGCUGCGAAAAGGUAUGGGGAGCCGCAAGCAGGCAAUGAUCCAUACAUCUCCGAAUGGGGCAACCCGGUACGAGUCAUGUCGUACCAUCCUACGGGAGGAUAACCCGGUGAACUGAAACAUCUAAGUAGCCGGAGGAAGAGUAAUCAAACGAGAUUCCCAUAGUAGCGGCGAGCGAACAGGGAAGAGCCCAAACCCGUUGUCUUCGGACGACGGGGGUUGAGGACCAGCAUAAAUCAAAGAAGUGUUAGAAGAAGGGCAUGGGAAGGCCCGGCGCAGAGGGUGAGACCCCCGUAUUUGAAAGCAUUUCGAGAGGGCUGGUAUCCAGAGUACCACGAGACACGUGAAACCUUGUGGGAAGCAGGGUGGACCACCAUCCAAGGCAAAAUACUACGGAACGACCGAUAGCGCAUAGUACCGUGAGGGAAAGGUGAAAAGAACCGCGGGAGCGGAGUGAAAUAGAACCUGAAACCGUAUGUCUACAAGCAGUCGAAGCACUUUAUAUGUGCGACGGCGUGCCUAUUGAAGAAUGAACCGGCGAGUUAAUUUCAGAGGCGAGGUUAAGCAGAAGAUGCGGAGCCGAAGCGAGAGCGAGUCUGAAUAGGGCGCAAGUCUCUGGGAUUAGACCCGAAACCACAGUGAUCUAUGCAUGGCCAGGUUGAAGCUCAGGUAAAAAUGAGUGGAGGACCGAACCCGUGAGUGUUGAAAAACUUUGGGAUGAGCUGUGCAUAGGGGUGAAAUGCCAAUCGAACGUGGAGAUAGCUGGUUCUCCCCGAAAUAGCUUUAGGGCUAGCCUCAGGGAAUGCACAUAGACGGUAGAGCUCUGAUCGGGCUAGGGGGCGUAAAGCCUACCGACCCCAGUCAAACUGCGAAUGGCUAUGUGAGAAGAACCUGGGAGUCAGACUGCGAGUGAUAAGACCCGUAGUCAAGAGGGAAACAGCCCAGACCGCCGACUAAGGUCCCAAAUGCUGUACUAAGUGGAAAAGGAUGUAGGACUUCAGAAACAACCAGGAUGUUGGCUCAGAAGCAGCCACCAUUUAAAGAGUGCGUAAUAGCUCACUGGUCGAGAGGCCCUGCGCCGAAAAUAUCCGGGGCUCAAGUACAGAACCGAAGUCGCGGCAUGCGCAAGCAUGGGUAGGGGAGCGUUGAAACAGCGGAGAAGGCGUACCGUAAGGAGCGCUGGAGCGGUUUCAAGAGAGAAUGCCGGUAUGAGUAGCGAAAAGGACGGUGAGAAUCCGUCCCACCGAAAGCCUAAGGUUUCCUGAGCAACGCUCGUCGACUCAGGGUAAGUCGGGACCUAAGCCGAGGCAGCAAGCAUAGGCGAUGGACAACAGGCUAAUAUUCCUGUACCCGCAAGUUUUGUUUGAGCAAUGGAGUGACGCAGGAGAAAGUGGGAGCUGGCUGCUGGAUUAGCCAGUCGAAGGCUGCAGGCUGCGGAGGAGGCAAAUCCCUUCCGUAACGGCUCAGAGCUGAUAGAUAGACUUUCCUUCGGGGAGUCAAAUUUCCAUGAAUCACACUGCCGAGAAAAGCUUCUAGUGAGAAACUUGUGGCCCGUACCAAAACCGACACAGGUAGGCGGGGAGAGUAUCCUAAGGUGCGCGGGAAAACCCUCGUUAAGGAACUCGGCAAAAUGCAUCCGUAACUUCGGGAUAAGGAUGACCGGAGCUGGUGAACUCCCUGCGGAGGAAGCUGGAGCCGGUGGCAGAAGAGAGGCCCAAGCGACUGUUUACCAUAAACACAGGUGCCUGCUAAAGAGAAAUCUGACGUAUAGGUGCUGACACCUGCCCGGUGCUGGAAGGUUAAGAGGAGGGGUCAGGCGCAAGCUGAAGCUCUGAAUUGAAGCCCCAGUAAACGGCGGCCGUAACUAUAACGGUCCUAAGGUAGCGAAAUUCCUUGUCGGGUAAGUUCCGACCCGCACGAA